AGGAGGUAAGAACAUGAAGAAAGAAGAACGAGACCAUUUCUGGCACAGGAACAACUCCCAUCAGAAAGAGAAGUUACUAGGGAAGAAGUCAUGGAUAUUUGAAGGGUAUUUGGAAGAAACCAAAAGUAGCCCUGAGACAUUCACCUUCUAAUCCAAUGCGCUCAACUCAAAGCUGCCAUUUUUCAAGCCAGCAUUUUAAAACCUGAGGGCUUUUGAGAGUGUGGAGCCUCAAUGAGCCGACCAGAAAAAGUUUCCAGAGCAGACAGAGUUUCCGUUCUUAUGAAAAUAAUAAUAGCUCUAGAGCCCUGGCACAGGUUGGCAGGAGCAUCACUUAAUCCAAACACAUUCUGACAGAAUGAUUCAGCUCCAGCACAACCCUGGGCCAUCUGACUGCAGAGAUCCCUCCACGUUCCUAACACCCAACCAGCGCUGCCCGCUCUUCCGCCACUAAAAGCACCGCAGGGACUUGCUCAUCUACACUUCGAGAUGUUGGUUUCACUUCAAAAAUGCAACAGCACAUGGACAGGAAAACACGGUGUGAAGGAUGGGAUAAAAGAGAAAGCGUGGCUGUUUAUUUACCUUGAUCGUUUGGCAUUUUAUCUGAGGACUCAGCUAGUGGGGCAAGCACAGGGAAGGAAAAACAAGAGAAAGAUCACAAGCCUUGAAGGAGCGAGAGACAGAAUUUAAAGUUUGACAUCACAUAAGCGCCCUGGCCAGAGCUCUCAUUUCCAAACACCAGCACUCAUGUGGAAAAAGUAGUGAUAGAAAUUCUACUCCUCACUUUUUCACCUCUCCUUAGAGUCCAUUUUUUCUCAAGAUACCAGGCAUUUGUCCUAUGCCACCGGUUACCCAGCACCGAGCAGUUGUGUCACACUGAUUCCCCUGACACCAUCCAGCUACCAACUCCACACACCACCUAGAGCCUUAAAGCAACUCAAAACUGCUUUUCUAAAAAGCCCAUUUAGGACACGGACCUUUGGCGUUAAUAACGAGCUGACCUGUCCCACUGGUAAUUUUGAAACAACACAACCAAUCCAACAGCAGAGCAACAUUUCCAUGUGUAUUAACUACAUGCAGGAGCCACCCAACACAACAUUUCAAUCUAGUCCAACUCCACUGUCUUGCUGACUUUUCCGGUUUAAAUAUAAAAUUCACGCUAUUGCUAUCUUAUCCUUACAGAGGCUGAUAUUUAUCCUACCCUUGGGUGUUCGGAACUGAACCGCCUCGGACAUGGGGCCCAUCCCCUUGGAGUUGCGGGCCUGGAUUUUGAAGUAAUACGGGGUAUCGAGGGUCAGCUCCUGGAUCUGGUGGGUCAGUCUGUUUCCCACCACAGGUUCAAUAACCCAGUCGUGUAUUUCGGCGUUCACAUCCGUGCUGUAGUAAAUGAUGUAUCCUGUCGGAGAGAAAAAGCAGAACAACUUUAGACCUGAAAGAACUGGACAGUGCUAAGAUCUCAAAGAAAAAGUACUACUGGUAUUUGCACAGCUAAAGGAUUAUUGGGUUUCUGAACGUCUAUUCCUACUUUUACAAAGACUAAGAAUACAUUCAAAUAUGAUACAUCCUUCCAUCUUCAAUUUUAAACCUUUCAAGAAUACAUGUUAAGAGGAAAAAAGCAAUUUCAACAUCAACAUUAUUUUUGAAUACGGAGGAAUUAUCUCUACCUGUUCAUGGAUCAAAUAAUGUCAAAUAACAUAAAGCUCUUAUUAUUAAAAAAUCCUGAAACUAUAUCAAAAAUAGUUAACAUUAAACCAACAUAACAUUA